UGCCUUCACGAAUGAUAAGAGCAUACAACGGAGAUUGGCUUUGUAUCAAGGCGUAUGUCCAAUAUAUACAUGGAGUUCACAGAAGAUUCUGAAACAAGCUUUAGCAAUGCCUUGACUGUGCUGAAGGAGCAAGGAUUGGUAAAGGCAGGAGAAGAGGUCGCACUCGUUCAAAGUGGCAGGCAACCCAUUUGGCGGCUCCAAUCCACUCACAAAAUUCAAGUGCGCAAAAUUUAGGUGCAACGGAGAUGGAAUAAUCGCCCUCGUAACAUA